rnacentral:rRNA from 1 species
UAACGCGUGGGAAUCUGCCCUGGAGUGGGGGAUAACCGAGGGAAACCUCGGCUAAUACCGCAUACGCCCUUCGGGAGAAAGAUUUAUCGCCCGAGGAGGGGCCCGCGUCGGAUUAGCUAGUUGGUGAGGUAACGGCUCACCAAGGCGAUGAUCCGUAGGUGGUCUGAGAGGAUGAUCACCCCCACUGGGACUGAGCCACGGCCCAGACUCCUCCGGGAGGCACCAGUGGGGAAUAUUGGACAAUGGGGGCAACCCUGAUCCACCAAUGCCGCGUGAGUGAUGAAGGCCUUAGGGUUGU